GGUGGCUCAAAUGGUAGAGCACUUGCCUUGCAUGCAUGAAGCCCUGGGUUCGAUUCCUCAGCACCA
rnacentral:tRNA from 1 species